UUGAGCCGUAUGAUUGGAAACUUUCAAGUACGGUUCUUAGAGGGGAAGGCUCCCGUAAGGGAGCUGACCUACUCGAC
rfam:Bacteroides reticulotermitis JCM 10512 DNA, contig: contig00076.